rnacentral:rRNA from 1 species
AGAGUUUGAUCAUGGCUCAGGAUGAACGCUAGCUACAGGCUUAACACAUGCAAGUCGAGGGGCAGCAUGUUGGUUGCUUGCAACCAAUGAUGGCGACCGGCGCACGGGUGAGUAACGCGUAUCCAACCUACCCUUGUCCAUCGGAUAACCCGUCGAAAGGCGGCCUAACACGAUAUGCGGUUCACAGCAGGCAUCUAAGGUGAACGAAAUGUGAAGGAGAAGGAUGGGGAUGCGUCUGAUUAGCUUGUUGGCGGGGUAACGGCCACCAAGGCUACGAUCAGUAGGGGUUCUGAGAGGAAGGUCCCCCANAUUGGAACUGAGACACGGUCCAAACUCAUACGGGAGCA